UACGGAGGGUGCAAGCGUUAUCCGGAUUUACUGGGUUUAAAGGGUGUGUAGGCGGACUAUUAAGUCAGUGGUGAAAUCCCGAGGCUCAACCUCGGAACUGCCUUUGAUACUAUUAGUCUUGAAUGUUGUUGAGGUGGGCGGAACGGGUCAUGUAGCGGUGAAAUGCAUAGAUAUGACCCGGAACACCGAUUGCGAAGGCAGCCCGCUAAGCAACUAUUGACGCUGAGGCACGAAAGCGUGGGGAGCAAACAGG
rnacentral:rRNA from 1 species